rnacentral:rRNA from 1 species
GACGAACGCUGGCGGCGCACCUAACACAUGCGAGUCGAACGAGCGAGAGAGAGCUUGCUUUCUUGAGCGAGUGGCGAACGGGUGAGUAACGCGUGAGGAACCUGCCUCAAAGAGGGGGACAACAGUUGGAAACGACUGCUAAUACCGCAUAAGCCCACGGUGCCGCAUGGCACAGAGGGAAAAGGAGCAAUCCGCUUUGAGAUGGCCUCGCGUCCGAUUAGCUAGUUGGUGAGGUAACGGCCCACCAAGGCGACGAUCGGUAGCCGGACUGAGAGGUUGAACGGCCACAUUGGGACUGAGACACGGCCCAGACUCCUACGGGAGGCAGCAGUGGGGAAUAUUGCACAAUGGGGGAAACCCUGAUGCAGCGACGCCGCGUGGAGGAAGAAGGUCUUCGGAUUGUAAACUCCUGUUGUUGGGGAAGAUAAUGACGGUACCCAACAAGGAAGUGACGGCUAACUACGUG